rnacentral:rRNA from 11 species
UGGUGCGGUCAUACCACCGUUAAUGCACCGGAUCCCGUCGGAACUCCGUAGUUAAGCGCGCUUGGGCCGGAAUAGUACUGGGAUGGGUGACCUCCCGGGAAGUCCCGGUGCCGCGCCCA